rnacentral:rRNA from 1 species
UACGAAGGGGGCUAGCGUUGUUCGGAAUUACUGGGCGUAAAGCGCGUGUAGGCGGGCCGUUAAGUUGGGGGUGAAAGCCCAGAGCUCAACUCUGGAAUUGCCUUCGAUACUGGCGGCCUGGAGCAUGAUAGAGGCGAGUGGAAUUGCGAGUGUAGAGGUGAAAUUCGUAGAGAUUCGCAGGAACACCAGUGGCGAAGGCGACUCGCUGGAUCAUUGCUGACGAUGAGACGCGAAAGCGUGGGGAGCAAACAGG